AUUGAACGCUGGCGGCAGGCCUAACACAUGCAAGUCGAACGGUAACAGGAAACAGCUUGCUGUUUCGCUGACGAGUGGCGGACGGGUGAGUAAUGUCUGGGAAACUGCCUGAUGGAGGGGGAUAACUACUGGAAACGGUAGCUAAUACCGCAUAACGUCGCAAGACCAUAGAGGGGGACCCUCGGGCCUCUUGCCAUCGGAUGUGCCCAGAUGGGAUUAGCUUGUUGGUGGGGUAACGGCUCACCAAGGCGACGAUCCCUAGCUGGUCUGAGAGGAUGACCAGCCACACUGGAACUGAGACACGGUCCAGACUCCUACGGGAGGCAGCAGUGGGGAAUAUUGCACAAUGGGCGCAAGCCUGAUGCAGCCAUGCCGCGUGUAUGAAGAAGGCCUUCGGGUUGUAAAGUACUUUCAGCGGGGAGGAAGGGAGUAAAGUUAAUACCUUUGCUCAUUGACGUUACCCGCAGAAGAAGCACCGGCUAACUCCGUG
rnacentral:rRNA from 1 species